rnacentral:lncRNA from 1 species
CUGAAACCCACUAAACCCAAGAUGGCCACAAGAGGGACCUCUGGUCGUCCUCACUGCUACACUCCCACCAGCGCCAUGACAGUUUAUAAAUGCCCUGGCAAUGUCAGGAAGUUAGCCUAUGUGGUGGUCUAAAAACAGAAGGCAUGAAUAAUCCACCCCUUGUUUAGCACAUAAUCAAGAAAUAACCGUAAGAAUGUGCAACCAGCAGCCCUUGGGGCUGCUCUGUCUAUGGAGUGGCCAUUCUUUUAUUCCUUUGCUUUCCUAAUAAACUUGCUUUCACUUUACAGACUUGCCCUGAAUUCUUUCUUGCGCGAGAUCUAAGAACCCUCUCUUGGGGUCUGGAUGAGGACCACCUUCCUGUAACAUCUUUCUGGCAACCACAGAAGGGACACAAAGGCUACCUUUGGCUUGGCCCCCAGGGCUAGGGUCCAGCCGCCGGGUCACUAGGACCACUCAAAGAAAGGGAACACAAAAGCCUCACGUGCCAGCAAAAGGGGUCUCUCUGUGUCACCCAGGCUGGAGGUCAAUGACGCCAUCACCUCUCAUUGCCGCCUCAACCUCCUGAGCUCAAAGGAUACUCUCGCCUCAGCUCCUCAAGUAGCUGUAACCACAGUUCUGCUGAUGUAAGCCAUGCUCUGCUGAUCUCAACGGAGUGUACCUAUGCAUCUGCAGUCAGCUGCCACGUAAUCUGCAGCUGGUUUAUCUAGGAUGGCCUCAUUCUUACGUCUUACGUCUGGCAAUUGGAGAUGUGAGUAAUAUUGAUGAACGAAGAAAACACAGUAAGACAUCAUGGAAACAUGUUGAUUUAAGUCCUAAUCAUGGAGUUAAGAAACAGUGGCUUUUGAGUAAUGAUGAUAUCAGAACAAGAGUAAGUUAAAAGUACCAGAAAGAAAGUAAUUGAAUUUGUCGUAACUAACUUCUGUCAAUAACUGUCUCUAAAACUUGGCCCUAAUUUACAUAAAUUGUAUUAAAAAUGUUCAAAUACUUGGUUAUAAUCAACUCCAAAACUGCAAAAUACUGCUUUUCUCCUAGUGAUUUAUUAUCUAGGCUUCUAGUCUUUGGAGUGAGUUCAAGGGGUGUGGAGAGGGCUUCUAAAUUGUCAGUGCUUUCAACAGCAUAUGUUGUCUGUGGAAUCCUGAGACCCUUGAUGAUGUAGAAAUUUGUAUUAGAAAUGGGAUCAUACAAAACACCAAACCAAAUCAAAACAAAAGACAGAAUGAAAAAGGAAUCCUACCUUUAGUUAUAAGAAAAAUAUGUCACACUUUCAGAGCACUAAAGUGUAGUCAGUCUGAAUUGCUUCACUCCUGAAUAUAAUAUAUAUAAAUUUUUAUGGUCCUAUUUGAUGUAAGUGAUGUAAUUCUAUAACCUAUUAUUGAUAGUGUUUUUCCUUAUCUGGAUUUUAUAUAGCCAAAGCUAAAAAUGUUCUUGUGAGUUUGAGUUGGUUAAACAAAUAAAUUUGACAUUGAACCAUAUUUCUU